rnacentral:rRNA from 1 species
AUUGAACGCUGGCGGCAGGCCUAACACAUGCAAGUCGAACGAGUGGCGGACGGGUGAGUAAUGUCUGGGAAACUGCCCGAUGGAGGGGGAUAACUACUGGAAACGGUAGCUAAUACCGCAUACCAUCGGAUGUGCCCAGAUGGGAUUAGCUAGUAGGUGGGGUAAAGGCUCACCUAGGCGACGAUCCCUAGCUGGUUUGAGCGGAUGACCAGCCAAACUGGAACUGAGACACGUUCCAGACUCCUAGGGGAGGCAGCAGGGGGGAAUAUUGCACAAGGGGCGAAAGCCUGAUGCAGCCAUGCCGCGUGUGUGAAGAAGGCCUUCGGGUUGUAAAGCACUUUCAGCGGGGAGGCGUUACCCGCAGAAGAAGCACCGGCUAACUCCGUGCCAGCCGCCGCGGUAUUC